GCUAAAUAUGGCCCCGUGACUAAAUUUGGCUGAUGCCACGUGAGGGAGAGUGAUGUGAAGAACUUCCACAUCAGGCCUUAAAAGAAAGAGUAUAGCACCCAUGCAGCAAGAAUGUUUAUUGUGUGCCACAAAGUGGGACAGAAGAGAGAGAGAGAGCCGACGGGAAUGAAGAACAGCACAAGAACAACCCGUAUGGUGCAUCAACUGAGGAUCACAGGGUUUGAUGGUUGCCUGGGUGGAAGUCAGUAUGGACGGAUGAUGACUGAGGAACAAAUACCCGCUCUCACACCCCAAACCCAGCCUUAUCUGUGAUCUCCUCGGGUGCCAGCUCCAAGUACAAAGACAGCAGCAGCAGUUCUGGACCCCUUGUUGAUGCCCAACAUCCAGGAGAAAAGGGACCAUCUUUCCCUGUACUUUCUUCUAAGAAAAAGAAACAUCUUCCAGAGCAUUUGGCGAAUUUCUCCCACACUGAGCCACAUGCUCGUUCCAAACCAAUCCCAAUCACUGGAAGAAUACAGGUUUGACUCAGACUAAUCAGGGCUCAUCUUUGACUGAGGUCAACUCUCCCAAUUGCCUGGCUACUACAAAAUGAGGAAUAGAACGGACAUUGCAGAACAACCACAAUUACAGUCCUCCCCUUUACUGCCCAAUAUUCACACACACCCUCUGUGCUAUGUUACAAUCUCCGAAAAGCCAGUGCCUAAUAAGAUGCACACAUGCCCUCUUAAGAAAGUACCACCCAAACUUCACCCAAUCAUGUAUCCAUUGGCAAACCCAGGAUCUCUGGGAGGCGUGCAAUCCAUCAAGUCAAUUACGUGCACCUGGAUUGAAAAGAAAUCAGGCAGGAAAUGAGGUGGUUGUUUCUUGUUCAUGUAUGAGCCUGGAACACUGAG